rnacentral:tRNA from 1 species
GGGCCGUUAGCUCAAUCAGGCAGAGCAGUGGACUCUUAAUCCAUUGGUUGAAGGUUCGAUUCCUUCACGGCCCACCA